rnacentral:rRNA from 1 species
UGAAGCGGCAAAAGCUCAAAUUUGAAAUCUGGUACCUUUGGUGCCCGAGUUGUAAUUUGGAGAGUACCACUUUGGGACUGUACUUUGCCUAUGUUCCUUGGAACAGGACGUCAUGGAGGGUGAGAAUCCCGUGUGGCGAGGGUGUCAGUUCUUUGUAAAGGGUGCUCGAAGAGUCGAGUUGUUUGGGAAUGCAGCUCUAAGUGGGUGGUAAAUUCCAUCUAAAGCUAAAUACAGGCGAGAGACCGAUAGCGAACAAGUACAGUGAUGGAAAGAUGAAAAGAACUUUGAAAAGAGAGUGAAAAAGUACGUGAAAUUGUUGAAAGGGAAGGGCAUUUGAUCAGACAUGGUGUUUUGCGCCCCUUGCCUCUCGUGGGCUUGGGACUCUCGCAGCUCACUGGGCCAGCAUCGGUUUUGGCGGCCGGAAAAAACCUAGGGAAUGUGGCUCUGCGCCUCGGUGUAGAGUGUUAUAGCCCUGGGGAAUACGGCCAGCCGGGACCGAGGACUGCGAUACUUGUUAUCUAGGAUGCUGGCAUAAUGGUUAUAUGCCGCCCGUC